GGAAAGGUACGAUCGAGUUGAGAUUAAUUUAUGCAGUCACUUACAACAUGGGCCCACCUGCCAUAUGUAUCUCCUUCUCCAAUCUCUUCCUCACAAGUUCACUCCCCAACCAAUCCUGGGCUCGCCUCCAGAUGAGGUCUUGAUAAGCAUGUCGGGUCGGCCAUCUAACGCCAUCCCGGAUGAGUUUCUGGGCGCGUCCAAGCCCGACGACACGUAUCCUGACUAAAAGAGCCGACGACGAGGGCCCCGCCGGCGAGCAAUUGCUGCUCUACCGGUAGGGAAAGUGGCACCCAUGGGAUGAGGAUGCCGCCACACGUAUGUACAGGAAAAUGCAUAUUCACCGGAAGGCCGACGACUUGGCCUCAGCGACGAGCAUCGUCGCCGUGUCCAUGGACGGAGUGUAAGGCAAUGUCGAGAUUAACGGAUUAACUGCGCACUACACCUCGAAUACUAUCAGAAGAAGGCAAGAAAACUACUAGGCAUUCGAAAGCCUGUUGCAAUCCAUCGGUGUCUAGAAGAGAUCAAUCGAUCCAGCCAGACUCACGUACUAGUUCGUGCUUGUACAUGAAUGUGCGUGUGUGUCUUCCAGCGGAACCUCAAUCCUCAAGCGGUGUUCGUUGAUUUCGUCGCCGAUAAAGAAGUUUGCGUCACUGUGCUCGUCGUUGCGUUUGCCGCGCGUGCCCAAACCUGCUGGAGCGGGAGGCGGCCAUGACAUCAAUGGCUACCUGCUCAAGCUAGUGUGCGACAUCAAGAGCAGGGAUAGCCGGGCUGCAGCGAGAUGGGG
rnacentral:lncRNA from 1 species